rnacentral:rRNA from 1 species
AGCUAAGUGUUAGAGGGUUUCCGCCCUUUAGUGCUGAAGUUAACGCAUUAAGCACUCCGCCUGGGGAGUACGGCCGCAAGGCUGAAACUCAAAGGAAUUGACGGGGGCCCGCACAAGCGGUGGAGCAUGUGGUUUAAUUCUAAGCAACGCGAAGAACCUUACCAGGUCUUGACAUCCUCUGACAACCCUAGAGAUAGGGCUUCUCCUUCGGGAGCAGAGUGACAGGUGGUGCAUGGUUGUCGUCAGCUCGUGUCGUGAGAUGUUGGGUUAAGUCCCGCAACGAGCGCAACCCUUGAUCUUAGUUGCCAUCAUUAAGUUGGGCACUCUAAGGUGACUGCCGGUGACAAACCGGAGGAAGGUGGGGAUGACGUCAAAUCAUCAUGCCCCUUAUGACCUGGGCUACACACGUGCUACAAUGGACGGUACAAAGAGCUGCAAGACCGCGAGGUGGAGCUAAUCUCAUAAAACCGUUCUCAGUUCGGAUUGUAGGCUGCAACUCGCCUACAUGAAGCUGGAAUCGCUAGUAAUCGCGGAUCAGCAUGCCGCGGUGAAUACGUUCCCGGGCCUUGUACACACCGCCCGUCACACCACGAGAGUUUGUAACACCCGAAGUCGGUGGGGUAACCUUUUUGAAG